rnacentral:lncRNA from 1 species
UUGCAAAAGAACGGCUUGGGCAGUGCAGCUCCGCAGCCACAAACUAUUCCUUGCCCAGGGCAGUGUUUCCCAACCACGCUCCUCUGUCUUCACUGCCUCCUGCUUGUCUGGACCCAUCGGCCGCCAGCCCACUUCCUGCGCCGCUCAGGCCCCGAGCAGGCAAGACCCCACAGCAAGGCGAGCAUCUGAGAAAUGCUGGGCC